GCUUACGGCCAUACCACCUUAGGCACGCCCGAUCUCGUCUGAUCUCGGAAGCUAAGCAGGGUCGGGCCUGGUUAGUACUUGGAUGGGUGACCGCCUGGGAAUACCAGGUGCUGUACAUU
ensembl:rRNA 5S_rRNA 5S ribosomal RNA